rnacentral:rRNA from 1 species
UACGUAGGGUCCGAGCGUUGUCCGGAAUUAUUGGGCGUAAGGAGCUCGUAGGCGGUUUGUCGCGUCUGCUGUGAAAUCCCGAGGCUCAACCUCGGGCCUGCAGUGGGUACGGGCAGACUGGAGUGCGGUAGGGGAGAAUGGAAUUCCUGGUGUAGCGGUGGAAUGCGCAGAUAUCAGGAGGAACACCGAUGGCGAAGGCAGUUCUCUGGGCCGUAACUGACGCUGAGGAGCGAAAGCGUGGGGAGCGAACAGG